rnacentral:tRNA from 1 species
ACCAGCGUCGCUCUAAGUGCAGGCUCGACGUGCUGCACGCUGGCAAAGCGCCUGGCUAGCCGAUUGAGCGGUAAGGGAGAUGCGGGUUCAAAUCCCGCCGUUGGUG